rnacentral:rRNA from 1 species
UACGUAGGGUGCGAGCGUUGUCCGGAUUUAUUGGGCGUAAAGAGCUCGUAGGCGGUUUGUCGCGUCGGCCGUGAAAUCUCCACGCUUAACGUGGAGCGUGCGGUCGAUACGGGCAGACUUGAGUUCGGUAGGGGAGACUGGAAUUCCUGGUGUAGCGGUGAAAUGCGCAGAUAUCAGGAGGAACACCGGUGGCGAAGGCGGUUCUCUGGGCCUGUACUGACGCUGGAGGAGCGAAAGCCGUGGGGAGCAAACAGG